rnacentral:rRNA from 1 species
CCCUACGGGACGCAGCAGUGAGGAAUAUUGGUCAAUGGGCGAGAGCCUGAACCAGCCAAGUCGCGUGAGGGAAGACGGUCCUAUGGAUUGUAAACCUCUUUUGCCGGGGAGCAAAAAGCGGUACGUGUACCGCAUCGAGAGUACCCGGAGAAAAAGCAUCGGCUAACUCCGUGCCAGCAGCCGCGGUAAUACGGAGGAUGCGAGCGUUAUCCGGAUUUAUUGGGUUUAAAGGGUGCGCAGGCGGCGAGUUAAGUCAGCGGUAAAAUUUCGGGGCUCAACCCCGACGACACGUUGAAACUGGCUUG